UUGAUGACAGUCAGCGUGCAGCCGGGCCU
rnacentral:sRNA from 1 species